rnacentral:lncRNA from 1 species
GGUUGGCCUCAUUUUUCUUGUCACUCACUACAUUUUGCAUGGCACUAUUCCUUGGCGCAUGUUUUUAUUUGGCUGGGCGAGGUGCGCUCAGCGCUCGUUUAGCAGCGUUCUUGGCGUGCUAGCAGUGUUUGUUCCGUUCAUUUGCUCAUUAUUUAUUUGAAAUUUACUGGCGCUAUUCUUGGCGCCCUGGUGCGUGCUGCAGAGAGGAUGAUGGGACGUGCGUGAUGCAGCCUUUACUCGCAAUCGCGCAAGAGCUGGGUGGCGACGAGUACCGAAGCAUCGGGUCAUUAAUGGCGAGAGCGGAAUGGACGCGGAGCCAGGGGUAAACCCGUCCGAGUAGGGCUACGCGAGCGUGGAACGUCAAGUUUUUCGAUUUCGUGUUGGGAGCGGACG